UUUAAUUAUAGUGAACACUUUAAUUGAAAAAAAAAGAAUUUAAUGACAAUGAAAUACUUGUUCUGAUAAACACUUGACAAGAUGUGUCGGCCAAGCAAGGAAAGUGUUAAGUGCCUACCCACUAACUUAACCUCUUCAGUGGGUACAGGAAUGUAAGCAUCGGCAUUUGUAAAUUUCUCAACACUAACCUUGACCUGAUCAUGGCACAAAGGUAUGUUGUGAACGGUUGUGAACCCCUCC
rnacentral:lncRNA from 1 species